rnacentral:tRNA from 1 species
AUUUAAAUAGCUUAAAUGAAAGCAUAACAUUGAAGAUGUUAGGAUAGUUAAAGACUUUUAAAUG